rnacentral:lncRNA from 1 species
AAUCUGAAUAGGUACAUUAAAAACUAGCAUAGCUCAAAUAAAUGUCCUCUUUUUCCAAAGAUUAUUAAAGAGAGUUUUCUUUUUCUUUAACCCAGCUAUUCAAAUACUCUAUUAGACCAGGACCUGUAAUAAUACAGGCCUUGUCCAGAAGGGAUCAGGUUUCUAUGUUAUAUAAUUAGGCAAGACUUUAAAUAGUAAGACAUGCACCUGUGGUGCUUUUGUCUCUAACUCCACAAAUUUCAACAUGCAUACAAAUCAAGAAGGGGUGGGGGUGUUACAUGCAAAUUCUGCUUCAGUGGGUGUUGGAGCCUGAGAUUCUGGCUUUCUAACAAGCUCCCAGGUAAGUGCUGAUGCUGCUGCUUUGAGGGCCACACACCUUGAGGAGUAGGAAGAGUACUCAUACUGGAAGAGUAUUCAGCACGGACUGGAAUCCUGCAUACAUAUCUGAGCUCUGUGUUCUGUAGAGAUGGGGUUUCACCAUGUUGCCCAGGCUGGUCUCAAACUCCUGAGCUCAGGCCAUCUGCCCGCCUCGGCCUCCCAAAGUGCUAGGAUUACAGAAGGUGCCUGCUUCCCCUUCACCUUCCACCAUGAUUGUAAGUUUCCUGAGGCCUCCCCAGACAUGUGGAACUAACAGGUUUCUCUUAUUGCCUGGAUCCAAGAGCAUCUCCUGGGUUCUUCCUGUUAGAAUACUGAAUGUCCAUGGAGAGUUUAACAUAAGGAAGAAGAGGCCUGUCUCCCAGCUGAAACUGGUGCAGCAGAUCAUGCAAAGUAAAACCUCAGCAGCUGUGAUGAAGUAGAGCAGAGGGCCUGGGUGUCUGUCAGCUCCAAGCGGAAGAUUUCCCCAGCUUUCUAGGUAACUGUGCUUCCACUGAGCAAGCCAGACACAGACUUGAAUGUCAUCACAAUCUGUGCCUGUGACAUCUUUCCCCAAGAAUAGCACAAAUUGAACUUUUACAUUCUUCAUAAUAUGGAAGGAAAGAUUUCUGACUUCAUAUCUGUGGGAUCCACACAAUGGGGAGGUACUGGCCUUGGAAUCCAUGGUUCCCCAGCUAUCAUUUUACUUUAGAAUUACAGUGUUCUCUGUUAGUGUCAAGGGAAUGAACCUGACGAGAAAAGACCAAACAUAGGACUGUUACAGGGAAGAAAAAUAUGAAAAGACCUAAAGAUGCACGUCCUCAUUAUAUGUAAGGAAUCUAUUUCCUAGAAUCCUAUAAAAAGCUCAAGUGAAUUUGCUUCAGUUAAUAAAUGUGAUUUAAUUAUAAUGAUAA